rnacentral:rRNA from 1 species
UACGUAGGUGGCAAGCGUUGUCCGGAUUUAUUGGGUUUAAAGGGUGCGUAGGCGGUCCUGUAAGUCAGUUGUGAAAUACGGCAGCUUAACUGUCGAGGUGCAAUUGAUACUGCAGGACUUGAGUACUGAUGAGGUAGGCGGAAUGGACGGUGUAGCGGUGAAAUGCUUAGAGAUCGUCCAGAACACCGAUAGCGAAGGCAGCUUACUAAGGAGUAACUGACGCUGAGGCACGAAAGUGUGGGGAUCAAACAGG